rnacentral:lncRNA from 1 species
AGGAACCUGAGACCAGAUAUCAGCAACUUGAAAAGAUAGUCCUAGCAUUUGUAAUUGCUACCAGAAGGCUUCGCCCGUACCUACAAGGAAACCAGGUAAUUGUUCGUACGGACUAUCCUAAUACAUGGAACAUUUCUCACUUGAAGUUUUAUUUUAGUUGAUUAUUAUGUAAUUUUUCCGUUACUUGCAAUUUUAUUCGAAUAAAAACAGCUUUGACAAUCAUUAC